rnacentral:rRNA from 1 species
AUUGAACGCUGGCGGCAUGCCUAACACAUGCAAGUCGAACGGUAACAGGCCCGUUUGGGGCGCUGACGAGUGGCGGACGGGUGAGUAAUGCUUAGGAAUCUACCUAGUAGUGGGGGAUAACCCCGGGGAAACUCGGGCUAAUACCGCAUACGUCCUACGGGAGAAAGCGAGGGACCUUCGGGCCUCGCGCUAUUAGAUGAGCCUAAGUCCGAUUAGCUAGUUGGUAGGGUAACGGCCUACCAAGGCGACGAUCGGUAGCUGGUCUGAGAGGACGACCAGCCACACUGGGACUGAGACACGGCCCAGACUCCUACGGGAGGCAGCAGUGGGGAAUAUUGGACAAUGGGCGCAAGCCUGAUCCAGCGAUGCCGCGUGUGUGAAGAAGGCCUGCGGG